rnacentral:ncRNA from 1 species
CGGAACUUUGGAGACAUCCAUUCAGUUGGAGGCCGAAGGUGCAAGCGUUUAAUACGCCAAACUCUCAGGCAAAAGGACAAAGCUA